UGUGGCAGGAUGGUGCUUUUGCUCACUGUACACUGCAGAAGAGAUCUUGUUCUGUCUUCAGGUGGCAAAAAUAAAGAUUGGAUUCUCCUUGUGUGUCUCAUGCUGAAUGUCUGUCAGAGGGUUCCACUUGAAAGUGGAACAUGCGGUCCUGGUUUUGUGACAUGUAAGCGGGAGGGAUGUGUGGAGGAUAUUAAAGUGUGUGACGGCACGGAUGACUGUUGUUAUGGAAGGGAUGAAGAGAACUGUGAGCAGAACAUGAGCUGUGACUUUGAAAAUGGCCUUUGUGGAUGGGACCUAAGAACAUUAUCAUCCUUGAAAAGGACAAGGACCAGUCAGAUGAAUAUAUCACUUUCUGAGCCUCUAAAAGGACCUGGUAGAGACCACAAAACUAAUACUCUGGCAGGUAUGUGCGGGCCAGUCUGAGCAGGGUUGUUAUAGUUUUUUUUUUUUUUUUCUAAAUAAUUAAAUUUCAAUUAAAUUAAAUUUAAAUGUAUGCAUUCAGCAGACACUUUUAUCCAAAGCGACUUACAGUGCAUUCAGGCUAUCAAUUUUUACCUAUCAUGUGAUCCCGGGGAAUCGAACCCCCAACCUUGCGCUUGUUAACGCAAUGCUCUACCAAUGCUCUACCACCGCUUAUUCAGUUCAUAAAAAAGAAAGUGAGAGCGAGAAAUUAUCAGUUUUAUUUAGCAGGGAUGCAUUAAAUAGAUUGCAAGAAUUGUAUUAAAGUGACAGUAACAACAUGCUCUUCUGUAUCAGCCGUGCCACAAGGAUGCGCUGUUUCUACGUGUAUUUAGCUUUGAUCCAAAAUAUCUUAAAUUGUGUUCCAAAGAUGAACAAAGCUUUUACGAGUUUAGAAUGACAUGGGGGUAAGUGAUUAAUGCCAAAAUUUUCAUUCUGGGGUGAAGUAUCCCUUUAAGAAGUCAUAUAGCAUCAUUUCUGAAGUUCAAAAGCUCUAGUCGCCAUUUAUUGCAAUUGAAUGGAAAAGAACAACCAGUAUAGUCUUCAAAAUUUCACAAUUUGUGUUCCACAGGUGAAAGAAAGUCAUAAGGGUUUACUGUUAUCUCUAGUAAUCUAAACUACCCCAUAAUAUUUAAAUAUCCUUUUGUGUGUUUGCUUGUUUACAGGAACGUAUGGACAGGGCUGGCCCAGGCUCUGUUGGUGCCCUAGGCGAGAUUUUAGAUUUCCACCCCCUGCUAAAAAAAUUCUGAAAAUCCAGAUUUUUCAAAACUUUACUAUAAUGUAACAUAACAUAAAUAAGUAACUACAUAACUACAUAAAUAAGUAGUAAAUAAAUUGUGAUAAUAAAUAAAUGGAGAUGUUGAA
ensembl:lncRNA